GUUUUUACAGUGUGGGUACGCUUCAGGCCGAUGCGUGCGACUCGGAGAGCCGCUCGGUUUUUGUGGAAACAAUCAAGGAGGUGCCAGAUAAUCACGCUCGCAGUUUUCUGGAAAAACUGUUGACUUUUCUGUUCAAGGCGCGGGAGCUGCAUGUUUGCUUUGCGUGUGCUGGUUAUCUGUGGAUGAAUGUGGGUGCAACUCCGAGAAAACACGUUGAGUGCAGAGAGUCAUUAAGGUUCACAUGUCAGCAGGUGUUAAAGCACCUAUACCUCCUUGGCUCGAGCCUCUGGCACCUCAGCUGCUUCACACUACAGUACAAGCGCUGCAGACUUUGCAUCUGGAAACCAUUGCCUCACAAUCUCAUUAUCAAAUUACCAGGCUGCAAACACGCUGCUGUUAGCCUGCUAGCAAGCUGCCGGUGUACACUGGAGAGUGAGAAGCUGGCCGCAUUACUCUGGACUACAAUGUCAGACAAGAUUUGGGCUCUUUACAGUUACAGAGUAUUUUCCAUAUGCAUUAAA